UCAAAUUAAAUUGAAAUAUAAUUUAUUUAUUUAUAUUUUUAUUUAAAUUUUUAUUUUUAUUAAAAAUAAUUAUAAUUAUGAAUGUUUUAGUAUAGUAUAUAGAAUAAAUAAUUUUUAUGAUAGUGAAUUAGUACUGUGAAGAAAAAUUGAAAUAAUUUGAAAAAUUAAUAUUUAAAAAGAAAAUUUGAUUUAUUGUACCUUGUGUAUCAGGGUUUAUUAAUUAAAAAAUAAUUAUAAUUAUUUUUCUCGAUUUCAAAAGAGUUAAUAAAUUAUAUUAGUUUAUGUAAAAAAAUAAUUAAUAAUAAUUUAUUAGAAAUGAAAAGUUAAUCGUUUUUGAAGGUAUCUAGUUUUUUAAUAAAUGAAUUUAAUUCAGUUAUUUUGAAUAUAUUGAUUUAAUUAUUUAAUUUAAUAUUUGAAAAUAAUAAUAUUUUAUGGGAUAAGCUGUAAAAUAAAUAAUUAAAAAUUAAUUAAUUUAUUAAUAAAUAUAUGCUUAUAAAUAGCAAUUAUUAUUAAAUAUGUUAUAAUUUAUUUUAUAAAAUUAAUUAUUUAAUUUAAUUUUAAUUAUUUAUUAAAAUAUUUAUUUUAAUAAUAAAAAUAAAUUAAUAAUGAUAGAAUUAGUAUAUAUUUUAAUUUGUAUAAAUAUAAUAAAUUAAUAGUUUUAUAUAAAGAACUCGGCAAAUAUUAUAUUCGCCUGUUUAUCAAAAACAUGUCUUUUUGUAUUUUAUUUAAAGUCUAAUCUGCCCACUGAAAUUAUUGAAGGGCCGCUGUAUUUUAACCGUGCAAAGGUAGCAUAAUCAUUAGUUUUUUAAUUGAAGGCUUGUAUGAAUGAUUGGACGAGAUAUAAACUGUUUCAUAUAAAAUUAAAUAAAAUUUUAUUUUUUAGUUAAAAAGCUAAAAUAAAUUUAAAAGACGAGAAGACCCUAUAGAUCUUAAUAAUUUAUAUAUUUUAUUUAUAUAGAAAAUUUAAAAUAUUAUAAUUAUAAUUAUUUUAUUGGGGUGAUAAUAAAAUUUAGAAAACUUUUAUAUUUAAUUUACAUGAAUUAAUGAAUAAUUGAUCCAUUUUUAAUGAUUAAUAAAUUAAGUUACCUUAGGGAUAACAGCGUAAUUUUUUUAGAGAGUUCAUAUCGAUAAAAAAGUUUGCGACCUCGAUGUUGGAUUAAGAAAUAAAAUUGGGUGUAGAAGUUCAAAAUUUUAGGUCUGUUCGACCUUU
rnacentral:rRNA from 1 species